AGCAGCCGCGGUAAUUCCAGCUCCAAUAGCGUAUAUUAAAGUUGUUGCAGUUAAAAAGCUCGUAGUUGAAUUUCGGGAUUGACGUGAUGGUCGUGCCUUAAGGGGUAUGAACUGUUGCUGUUGAUUUCUCACCUUCUGGAGAAACUUGAUGUCCUUAAUUGGGUGUCUUGCGGAUCCAGGACCUUUACCUUGAAAAAAUUAGAGUGUUUAAAGCAGGCAUUUUGCUCGAAUACAUUAGCAUGGAAUAAUAGAAUAGGACGGCAUGGUUCUAUUUUGUUGGUUUCUAGGAUCACCGUAAUGAUUAAUAGGGAUAGUUGGGGGCAUUAGUAUUCAAUUGUCAGAGGUGAAAUUCUUGGAUUUAUUGAAGACUAACUACUGCGAAAGCAUUUGCCAAGGAUGUUUUCAUUAAUCAAGAACGAAAGUUAGGGGAUCGAAGACGAUCAGAUACCGUCGUGGUCUUAACCAUAAACUAUGCCGACUAGGAAUCAGACGAUGUUAAUUUUUUAAU
rnacentral:rRNA from 1 species